UGCUUCUGUAGCAUAGAAGUCCAGUGCGGGUCUUCUGUGCUAAAAUCAAGGAAGGACUGUGCUCCCUUUCAAGGAAGGACUGUGCUCCCUUUCUGGAGGUUCUUUUCCAGCUAGAGGCCACCCACAUUUCUUGGCUCAUGGCCCCCUUCUUCCAUCUGCAAAGCCAGUUAUGUUGCAUCUCUCUGAUCAUUCUUUCCUAGUCACAUCUCCAUCUCACUCUUUCUGCCGUCCUCUUUCACUUUUAAGAACGCUUGUGAUGACACUGGGCCUGCCUGGAUAAUCCAGGCUAAUCUUCCUAUUUUAAGGUCUGCUGAUCAAAGCCUUAACUCUAUCUACAACCUUAAUUUCGCUUGGCCAUGUAACAACAUAUUCACAGGUUCUGGGAAUUAGGAUUUGGACAUUUUGGGUGGGGG
rnacentral:lncRNA from 10 species